rnacentral:lncRNA from 1 species
CACGGUGGAAAAGCUGAGACUUUUAACUUAUGCUCUGCAAAGUACUGGGAACUUGCACACAGAAAAUCAGGUCCAUCAGAGCCUCAGAAAAUCCAGCAAAACCAGUCUCAGGUGAACCCAGCGAAGGCACAAACAGGACAGUGAGAAAAAUUUUUCCACAUGUAACAGUAAAACGGCCUAAUCCAUUUAAAGUAGGAUGUGGUAAGCCAAUACUUAUCUUGGAUAUCCACUACUACUUCACUAGUGCACAUUUCCAAAAUGAAUACUCUAGCUAAAGGAAAGUUAGAUAUAUUGUUAAGUAGAUGUCUACCAUUGGUUGCAACUUUUAAACAUGAUUUAGCACCAAACAAAGAAAUGUAGGGAUUAAUAUUCAACUGUAUUAUCACACAUUACAAAUGAUUAAAUCUGGC